GACAGAGGUGCCGAGCGUUAGGCGGAAUCACUGGGCUUAAAGCGUGUGUAGGCGGAUUGGUAAGUACCUUGUGAAAUCCCACGGCUUAACCGUGGAACUGCUUGGUAUACUGCUUAUCUUGGGCCACUUAGGGGCUACCGGAACAAACGGUGGAGCGGUGAAAUGCGUAGAUAUCGUUUGGAACACCAAUGGUGAAAGCAGGUAGCUGGGAGUGUGCCGACGCUGAGACACGAAAGCCAGGGGAGCGAACGGG
rnacentral:rRNA from 1 species